AGAGUUUGAUCCUGGCUCAGAACGAACGCUGGCGGCGUGCCUAACACAUGCAAGUCGAGCGCGAAAGGAGCAAUCCGAGUAGAGCGGCGCACGGGUGCGUAACACGUGGAUAAUCUGCCCUUGAAUUCGGGAUAACCUUCCGAAAGGUUGGCUAAUACCGGGUAAGCUCACGGUGACUUCGGUCGCUGUGGGAAAAGUAGACCUCUGUUUACAAGUUUACGUUUGAGGAUGAGUCCGCGGCCCAUCAGCUAGUUGGCGGGGUAAUGGCCCACCAAGGCUACGACGGGUAGCUGGUCUGAGAGGACGAUCAGCCACACUGGAACUGAGACACGGUCCAGACUCCUACGGGAGGCAGCAGUGGGGAAUUUUCCACAAUGGGCGAAAGCCUGAUGGAGCAACGCCGCGUGUGUGAUGAAGGUCUUCGGAUCGUAAAGCACUUUCGACCGGGACGAAAAACCUCUGGCUAACAUCCAGGGGCCUGACGGUACCGGGAGAAGAAGCACCGGCUAACUCUGUGCCAGCAGCCGCGGUAAUACAGAGGGUGCAAGCGUUGUUCGGAAUUAUUGGGCGUAAAGCGCGUGUAGGCGGCUUGGCAAGUCAGAUGUGAAAGCCCAUGGCUUAACCAUGGAAGUGCGUCUGAAACUGCUGAG
rnacentral:rRNA from 1 species